UACAGAGGUCCCAAGCGUUGUUCGGAUUCACUGGGCGUAAAGGGUGCGUAGGCGGUCGGAUAAGUCUGACGUGAAAUCUCCGGGCCUAACCCAGAAACUGCGUUGGAAACUAUCUGGCUAGAGGAAUGGAGGGGAGACUGGAAUACUUGGUGUAGCAGUGAAAUGCGUAGAUAUCAAGUGGAACACCAGUGGCGAAGGCGAGUCUCUGGACAUUUCCUGACGCUGAGGCACGAAAGCCAGGGGAGCAAACGGG
rnacentral:rRNA from 1 species